rnacentral:rRNA from 1 species
GAUGAACGCUAGCUACAGGCUUAACACAUGCAAGUCGCGGGGCAGCAUGGGGGUUGCUUGCAAUCCCCGAUGGCGACCGGCGCACGGGUGAGUAACGCGUAUCCAACCUGCCCUUCACCACGGGAUAACCCGGCGAAAGUCGGACUAAUACCGUAUGUUGUCCAUUGACGGCAUCCGAUUUGGACGAAAGGCUUGGCGGUGAGGGAUGGGGAUGCGUCCGAUUAGCCAGACGGCGGGGUAACGGCCCACCGUGGCUACGAUCGGUAGGGGUUCUGAGAGGGAGGUCCCCCACACUGGAACUGAGACACGGUCCAGACUCCUACGGGAGGCAGCAGUGAGGAAUAUUGGUCAAUGGGCGUAAGCCUGAACCAGCCAAGUAGCGUGCAGGAUGACGGCCCUAUGGGUUGUAAACUGCUUUUAUGCGGGGAUAAAGUGGCCCACGUGUGGGCUUUUGCAGGUACCGCAUGAAUAAGGACCGGCUAAUUCCGUG